UUUAAACAGUUCUGCUUUGCUCCCUUUCCUGAACACCCCAUUACACUGACAUGGACUCUCCCAACAAAGUCCAUACCUGAGAAUGAACUACAAGACAAUCCAGAUCAAAACAAAUCAGAUUAACUGAAGCAUAAGUGAUGUGUUUGGAGUAUAUUGGACAAGACCAUGUUAUAAAUCCAAGGAUUCAUGAGAUUGUAAUAAAAACCCUGGGAAUCCUUUCUUUUCAGCUUAAUCAAAUUUUUUGCAUGCCUGAGAAAAUCUAGGCUCUCCAAUGACCUUGAAAUACCAGACAUCUCACAGG